CCUCCCGUCCCUCAUCGCCCUCGGACCCCGGGCGGCCCUCGGAGGCUCCCGGGCGCCACAAGGAGCGCGGGGGAUGGCCCCCCAAGAGCCCUGAGCCUCCGCGGCUCAGUCAGCACCCGGGCAGGCCGACAGCAGGCGGGAGCGGACGGGCAGGCGGGUCUCCGGUUACAGGUGCCGCGUCCAGCGCCGCCGGCCCCAGAGCCACCUCAGGCCGCUGCGACCCGCCCCCACCACCCCGCCGAUCGCACAGGCCGCCCGCGUCCUCCCCCUUACCGAGCAGGGCGGCCGCCGCCAGCAGCCCCCGGGCCAUAUCGGGGUGCAGGGACGGGGCGCGGCGGGAGCGGACUCGGACCGAGGGCGGGCGCGGGGCGGCGGCGGCGGCUCCGCGCUCGGGGCGCUCUGGCGACGGCCCCGGCCGGUCAUGUGACCGCUGACGUCACAGAGGCGGGGCGCCCGUCACGUGACCCGGCCGGGGCACAGCAGCGGCGAUGAGGGAGGGGAGGAUCUCGCGAGAGCUGGGCCGUGUGAGGGGAGCGGGGCCGGGUGAGGGGAGCGGGCUCUGGGCUGUGUGCCACUGCAGCUAAAGGCAGUCUGAGGGGUAUGCUUACUUCAUCUGAAACCCCAGAAGCUGGAUCUCGCUCCUGCAAUCCUGUUUCUAGUCCGACUGGAAUGUGUGCCAUUAGCAGUGUCCUCUGCUUUCUCACAACGGCUGCUGUAGAGUCCCUCUCCUCACUACAGGCUGCUCCAGAUUCAUCAUCUCUGAGGCAGAAUGAUUCCUGCUCCCAAGCUGCCUUCGUACUUUUUUACAUUGAACCCAUUUGAAAUGCAAUUUAGCAGUGCAUGCAGCUGCUUGAAUAAUGUACAUCAACCUGAAAUCUGCUAAAAGGAAGUCUGGAACAGCAUAUGUAUUUGGUGUCCUAAAGAUAUAUGUGGAUGAUUUUGGUUUUUAUUUUUUAAGUUUUUUAAAAUUUUUUAAAUAAAACUAUUUCUUCUUCUUUAUGCAA